UACGGAGGGUGCGAGCGUUGUCCGGAAUCAUUGGGCGUAAAGGGCGCGUAGGUGGCUCGCCAAGCGGGCGGUGAAAGCCUGGGGCUCAACCCCGGGUCGGCCGUGCGAACUGGCGAGCUGGAGCACUGUAGAGGCAGGCGGAAUUCCGGGUGUAGCGGUGGAAUGCGUAGAGAUCCGGAAGAACACCGGUGGCGAAGGCGGCCUGCUGGGCAGUGGCUGACACUGAGGCGCGAAAGCGUGGGGAGCAAACAGG
rnacentral:rRNA from 1 species